UUCUGGGCUACACACGUGCUACAAUGGCCGGUACAGACGGACGCAAAGCCGCGAGGCGGAGCAAAUCCGAAAAAGCCGGUCUCAGUUCGGAUUGCAGGCUGCAAUUCGCCUGCAUGAAGUCGGAAUCGCUAGUAAUCGCAGGUCAGCAUACUGCGGUGAAUACGUUCCCGGGCCUU
rnacentral:rRNA from 1 species